rnacentral:rRNA from 1 species
CGCCUACGGGGGGCAGCAGUGAGGAAUAUUUGUCAAUGGCCGGAAGGCUGAACCAGCCAAGUCGCGUGAGGGACGACUGCCCUAUGGGUUGUAAACCUCUUUUAUAAGGGAAGAAUAAAUGCUACGUGUAGCAUGAUGCCUGUACCUUAUGAAUAAGCAUCGGCUAACUCCGUGCCAGCAGCCGCGGUAAUACGGAGGAUGCGAGCGUUAUCCGGAUUUAUUGGGUUUAAAGGGUGCGUAGGCGGUAUUUUAAGUUAGUGGUAAAACGUCGGGGCUUCACCUUGAUUGGCCAUUAAAACUGGAGU